rnacentral:rRNA from 1 species
GUAACACGUAAGUAAUCUGCCUUCAAGUUUUGGGAUAACCCUGCCAACGCGGGGCUAAUACCGGAUGUGGUCCAGCAGACCCAUGUUUGCGGGAUUAAAGGUCGCGAGACCGCUUGGAGAUGAGCUUGCGGCCCAUUAGCUAGUUGGUGAGGUAACGGCCCACCAAGGCAGGGAUGGGUAGCCGGCCUGAGAGGGUGUACGGCCACAUUGGGACUGAGAUACGGCCCAGACUCCUACGGGAGGCAGCAGUAGGGAAUUUUGCGCAAUGGACGGAAGUCUGACGCCAGCAACGCCGCGUGAAGGAUGAAGGCCUUCGGGUUGUAAACUUCUGUUGGAUGGGAAAAAAGCCUUUUAAGAGGAAUUGAUGGUACCAUUCGAGUAAGCACCGGCUAACUACGUGCCAGCCGCCGC